AGCUGCUUUAGCAUUUAGAAACAGAUAUGUGUGCAGGAUCCUCCUGCAGAACUUCAAAAAAUAUGUCUAAGUUUGCAUGUGUGUGAGUAUAAUCUUAGAGGUGGAAUUGCUGUAUUAAAGCAUCCAUGUACGUGUAAUUUUGACAGCUAUUGCCAAAUUGCCCUCCACUGAGGUAAUACAGGUCCCUCGCACCUUCUUUUUUUAAAAAAAAUUUAAACAUAGAGAAAAAUGAAAAGAAUAGGAUAAUGAACACUCGGGUGGUACAGAGUUUUAAUGGUGAUGGCAGUCAGUUGGUCUGAGGAAGAUAGAGACAUUGAAGUCUGCAGGAAAAGUGAACCAGCAAGGUUAUUUUGUACACAUGGAAGGUUUUCAGCUUCACACUUUGUGGACCUCGAGGGACCCUGCUUUCAGGCACCGGGUCUUUGGGACCUGCUGUCCUCUCUCCUGGCUAGGUGACAGGCUUCUCCUCACUCGGGUGGGGCUCGGGGUUGGGAUGUUUCUGUUCAGCGUAGCUCGCUGGGUUCCUGACCUGAGAUGGGCAUGACAAGGACUCUAGCCUGGCCCACAGGAGCCCUGACUCUAGGAGGGGGGUGAUUGAAUUGGCACGGGCAGGAGGCCUGUGUGUGUAUGUGUGUGUGUGUGCGUGUGUGUGUGUGUGUGUGUGUAUAAACCAUCCACUUCCACGCUCCAGCCCAGGUGGGUCUAGAAAUAUGCCAACCUGCUGCCCUUGCUCCUCCAGUGGCUUCUUCAGGCUUCUUGGAGCAAUAGCAAAUCCUGACAGCAGCCUAUAAAGUCCAGAGUGGUCUGGCCCUGUGGCCCGCUGCCUCCUCUGAGGAGCUCUCCUGGGCUGCCUGCACUGCAGCCACCCUGGUGGCGCUCCAGUUCCUGUCAUCCUCCUUCCUAAGUCACGCUGUUCUCUGUGGCUGGGAGCACCCCCUUAUGCCCACCUGCCCCUGGGCACCCUGGCUUCUCCUAGUUAACAUUGCUUCCUCCUUCAGGGCCCCCCUGCCUCCAGGAAGCCUUCCUUCACCCCCACACCAGGUGGAGCCUCCUGGUCCAGUUCCCCACAGCAUCUAUCGCUAUUCACACUGUUGUAUUUCUCUGAUGUGACCUUUAGUGUCAUUUCUCCUCUUACUCCUUAUGUCACACAGGCGGGGACCAUAUCUGUUUUGUGCACCAUCCUCUCCUCUGUGCUCUACCAGAAAUACACGUCGUCGGUGCUCAGGCGAUGUUGUGAAGUGAACACGUGAGGCAUUCUGACAGCACAAGGAGAGCCUCUUCCCUGUGCCAUUUGAUCAACCAAUCAACAUACAGCAAGACUUUCCAGCUUGCCACAGGCCCCACCAUGCCCUCAUGUGUGCCACCAGGCUUGCAUCCCUCAUUGAUGUCACCUGCCUGGCCCUUGAAGCAUGCCCUGGAUGCUGACCAGCCCUGAGUGUAGAGCUGACUUGAACAAGGUCCCUGCUCACAGGCACCACGGUAAGAGAUGUGAAUGUGGGAUACCGUGGGCCUGGUGAGGUGGCUGGCUCCUUUGUAGAUGCCUCAUAGCACACCUGCCUCUUGUUUUUCUGCAUGCUGGUGGCGUUUGUGUGUGUGUGUGUGUGUGUGUUCCCCAUAAACCCAUGUCUGCCUUUAAUCAAUUUCUACUUGGAAAGUGAGCCUGGGUGGCCACGGUUUGAGAUGGUACCCACCUCUUGGGGUCCAGAUAAGCUCCUCUAGGGUGAUGAAGGGAUUGUCGGGCUCCUUCGUCAGCCCCAGCGGCCCACAGCUCAGAUGUGCAGCCCUUGGGAAGCCCUCAGCCUGGGUCCUGGCCUCACUGAGGCCCCGAGGCCCCCAUCUUCCUGCCCAGGAGGGAUGAACCAGCCUGGAGGCAGGCAGCAGAGCAGGAAUGCAGCCUCUGCUAGCUCCUGACAGGGCAUCUCUGGGAGGCCCCCAGAUCCUCAGGGCUGCGGCUCUGCCGGGGAAGCGGGGAUUAGGAGCCUAAUUCCGCCGAGAAUCCUGUUUUUCUUAGCCUCACACAGAUUGCUCUUUGGGAAAGGCCCCUCAUCUAAUUAGCCUGAGUCAACAGCUCCAUUUAUUUGGACACGUGAUGUUAUGAAACGGGCUGCUGCUGGUGUGUUUUCGUAGCGCAUAUCUGGACUGCCCCUCCAGGAUGGCAUCGGGAGGCUGCCUGGCCCGGUGAGUGUCCAGCCCAAAGGGGCCACCACCUGAGGCCGCAAGGGAGGCCGCAGAUUUGCUGGCCAGGCAGGGACUGCUCUCUCUCGGAUUUCAUAACAAGAGAGUGACCCACAGAGUGUCCACACAUCCAGCUUCCUCUCCCGUUGGUGUUUUUGAACCAAAAUAAAGAAGGGAUUAGGGGCCCUUUGAUCAAAACUCCUUCCUCUGUACCUCGUGAGAAUCAAAAGGGCCUUCUCCAUGGGGCUUUUGAUGGUGACAGGGCCUUUACCACAUCCCUAAGUACCAGCACUUUUUGAGGAAAACAUGAGUAAAAAUAGUUACCAUUUAUUAAGCAUUUACUAUGUGCAAUGUACCAAGCAAAUUAUAAAAUAAAUCACACCCACACACACACUCACACCCACACACAUGCUCACAUCCAUACACAUGCACGCACACACACAUUCCCAUCUUUUCUUCUCUCUGCCUCUCCCCUCACGCUGUUAUCCUGAUCUGCCUGGUGAAAGUGAAAGCCCCUCUCCGUCUCUCCCACCUUCACUCCCCUCCCCAGCCUUCACCCCCCCCUACUUUGGUGUUGGUCCUUCCCGAGUCUUUUCCAUGCAUUUGUAUACAUACACAUCAUAUGUUAUUUCUAACUGUAAAAGCAACCCAUCAAGGAAAGUACUGCUACCUCCAUUUCACAGAUGAGAAAACUGAAGUGCAGAGAGGCUGAGCGACUUGCCCCAGGUCACACAGCCAGGAAGGAGCAGAGCUGGGUGUUCAGGCCUGUGUGACUCCAGAGACUGGCAGGAAGAUCCUCUUCCUCUGGCCGCCCCAACUCCCAGCAAGUCACAGGCUUUGGUCUUAGUGAACUGUAGUGGGCUUCUUGCCGCCCCUUCUCUGGGCUGUUAUUUUUGCUAGAUGGGUCAGUCAAGGUGGGCAUUUGACACGCUGGGCCGCAUGGAAGUCACCCUGGAGAAAGGGGCAGAAGCUCUAUCCUGCUGCCUCCUUCCUGUGCCCUGACCUCGAGUUCCUACUGACCUAACGUUUGCCUGGACCCUUUCUGCGUGUGCAUACCAGAGCCGAAAGGAAAGAAGGAGGACCAGCCAGGGUGGCCUUGUCAUCCUUUCCCCAGAGCACAGAGCGCUUGGGGUGGAGUGUUCAUCCCCUUUUGGCCAAAUAGAACAUGUGUGAACAGCAGCGGCUCAGCAUAGCGUUUUGGGGCCCUUCCACGCGUGGCUGGAAAAGCAGAGGAUCGGGAGAGGCGGGAGCCCAAGGGACAUUGCCUGAUGGAUUAAAAAAACAAAUUCCAGCGCUGGGCCUGGAAGCUUCUUAAAAAGGGGAGGAAAUUGAAACUCAGAAAGCUUCCAUGAUCGCCCAAAUCCCAAGGCCUGUGCCAUUGAUUGAAGUUUGUGUCCUCCCCAAAUUUGUAUGUUGAAAAGUUAAUGACCAAUGUGAUGGCGUUGGGAGGUGGGGCCUUUGCGAGGUGAUUGGGUCAUGAGGGCAGGGCCUUCAUGAAGGGGAUUAGUGUCCUUGUGAAAGAGCGUGGAGAAAGCUCCCAGGCCCCUUCCACCAUGUGAGGACACAGCCAGAAGGCACAGGCUACGAACCAGGAAGUGUUUUCACCACACCAAACCUGCCGGCACCUUGAUUUUGGACUUGCCAGCCUCCAGGACUGUGAGAAAUAAAUGUUUGCUGUUGAUAGACUUAUAAACACCUAGUUAUAAAAGACCUUAUAAAAGACCUAGUUCAUGGUCUUUUGUUAUAGCAGCUCAAAUGGACUAAGACACCGGUAAGAGAAGGUGCUGGGACUCAGGCUGUCUGAUACCGAAGUCUGGGCUCUCAGCCCCUAAGGGUCACACAUCCCCGAUUCUGAGGCCAGGAAUGCCCUCCUCCCAAGUCAAAGAUGGUCAUGGUCUUGAGACACUGGAGCCCACCUGGGGCUGCCAAUUGCGAUGUUUGAGAACCCUUCCUGUCAUGGCGCCGUGUACAAGCCAGGGAAUGGUUUUGCCAGUUUGGGCAAUCCCAGCUUUCUUGGUUCUAAACUAGUGAUUCUCAACCCUGGCUGCACAUUAAUGUCACCUGGGGAGCUUUGAAAAAUGCACACCACCCAGGCCACCAAGACCAGUCUCUUGGUGGGGCUGGGCAUCAGGACCUUGUUGAACUCCCUGGUGAUUCCAAGGAGCAUCCAGGCCUGAGAACCCCUCUGAAGGGAAACAGCUGGCUUUCGGGCUCCUGUUCCCUUCCACUGAGGGGCCAGGCUGGGGGCUGGGAGUGGAGGAGGGUUUGAGGCAAGGAGGGGGCAUGGGUAAGGAGGCAGUAAAAAGGGAGAGGUCGAGGCUGACAAAGAAUGUGUGGGGUGAGGGACCCUGACAGCUUAAGUAACUGGAUCAGGGUGCACACAGGGUAACUGGCAGAGCUGGAAAUCACACCACUGACAUGGUGGCAAAACCAUUGGAACCUCUUGUUACUGGGGAGACCCCAAGGGUAGCUCGGGUAGAGCUCCCCAAGACCUAGUUCUGCAUCCAGUUCUCGUCUCAAUGCAUCCUUUCUGCUGAUUCAGCCGCAUCCACGCCCAGGGCUUCUAUCAUUACCUGUAUCCCAAAUUUCUAUUUUCAGAGCAGACUGUUCCAUGGAGCUUCAAACCUAGACUGCAGUGACUCAUCUGACACCUCUCUUGGAUGACUCCAAGGCCCCCAGGGUUUCACAUGCCCAAGAAUAAACUCGUAACCACCUCCACCCCCAAUUGGUCCUUCCACAGGGUCCCAAGCCCAGUGAAUGGCACCAGGAAUCGUGCUUGACUCCCCUCCCUCACUGCCCCGUGCGUCACCAGCGUUCUUGGUCUAACCUUCUAAGUACCCGUCCAUCCUGUUCUCUUCUCUCCAUCUUCAUUGCCACCCUUUUAGCCAAGCUACCAUCGCCUUUGGUAAUUUCUUCUUUUUAUUUCUGGGUAAGUUAUUCUUGCUAAUGUGAUUAUUUGAUUUCUGCCUGCGUCUCCCGCCAGCUUAUACACUGGGUAAGGGCAGGGGCUAGCUUUUUGGUGACUUUUGUAUCCCCAGCACCUAGCACCUCAU